rnacentral:rRNA from 1 species
GUAGGUGGCAAGCGUUGUCCGGAAUUAUUGGGCGUAAAGCGCGCGCAGGCGGUUCUUUAAGUCUGAUGUGAAAGCCCACGGGCUCAACCGUGGAGGGUCAUUGGAAACUGGAGAACUUGAGUACAGAAGAGGGAAGCGGAAUUCCACGUGUAGCGGUGAAAUGCGUAGAGAUGUGGAGGAACACCAGUGGCGAAGGCGGCUUUCUGGUCUGUAACUGACGCUGAGGCGCGAAAGCGUGGGGAGCAAACAGGAUUAGAUACCCUGGUAGUCCACGCCGUAAACGAUGAGUGCUAAGUGUUAGGGGGGUUUCCGCCCCCUUAGUGCUGCAGCUAACGCAUUAAGCACUCCGCCUGGGGAGUACGGCCGCAAAGGCUG